GUGCUCGCUUCAGCAGCACAAAUACUAAAACUGGAAUGAUACAGAGAUUAGCAUGGCCCCUGUGCAAGGAUGACAUGCAAAUUCAUGAAGCAUUCCAGAUAAAU
ensembl:snRNA U6 U6 spliceosomal RNA